AGUAACACGUGGGUAACCUGCCUUAUAGUGGGGGAUAGCCUUUCGAAAGGAAGAUUAAUACCGCAUAAGAUUGUAGUAUCGCAUGAUAUAGCAAUUAAAGGAGCAAUUCGCUAUAAGAUGGACCCGCGUCGCAUUAGCUAGUUGGUGAGGUAAUGGCUCACCAAGGCGACGAUGCGUAGCCGACCUGGGAGGGUGAUCGGCCACAUUGGGACUGAGACACGGCCCAGACUCCUACGGGAGGCAGCAUG
rnacentral:rRNA from 1 species